UGCCAUGUCCGCACCCAGGAUCGGAACCCGCAAACCCUGGGCCUCUGAAGCAGAACGUGUGAACUUAACCGCUCGCCCCCGGGCCGGCCCCUCACUCUGUUUUGUGCUCGGAUUAGAAGAAAACAUCCAGCGACUCGUCAGCGCGAGUUUUUUUUUCAGCUCAAUCUUUCAUCGUAACAAACAGCACUUUAGGUGACCGCGUGCGCUGUCCCCGGGUCCCGCCUGGUCCUCUCGCUGCCGCUGGUGCCCGGAGCCCGGAGCAGCUCAGCCGACAGCCCGGCGGGAGGCCCUCGGAGUCGCCUGGCUCCUGCCGCGGCCGCGGUCCUCUGCUGGGGGUCCGUCCAAGUGUCCGCUGUCUGCGGCUGGGGCUCGGCGACCCCUGCCCCUUCCCCCUGAGGGGUUCUCCUGGCACAUCAGCCGGCCCGUCCCCUCCUCAGGAGUGGGGUGUGGAGGCGGGGAGAGAUGGAAGGAAAAGUGGCCCGAGAGCCAAAACAGCACCAUUUCCCCUCGCUAUCAGCAUGAGAAAGGGCAGGGUGGCCCUCGACAUCCUUUUGUUUUGGUAAAAAGUCUCCGUGACACCGUAUGUUUUGCCCUCACAGCCCUUCUCAGUUCGGACCGACCGCGUCUCGAGCGCUCGGUGCCCUGAGUGGCCGGUGGCUGCCGGGCGGUCAGUGCGGGUCUGACCCCUGUGCUCUGUCCCCUCCCUGCGAUCACUUUGGUCUCUAUGGGGGCCAUUCUGCCCCUCAACUCAGGGACACUGGGCCACGUCUGGGGACGUCUGUGGCUGUCACACUGGGGGUGCUCCUGGCAUCGAGUGGGUGGGGCCAGGGAUGCUGCUCGGCCCCCCCACAGCGCCCAGGACGGCCCCCCAGGGAGUGACCCUCCCCGAGGUGAUGUCAUCAGUGCCUGAUUUGGCCCAAACUCCUCCCUGAAUUGACGGGGUAGGAGGCCACCGUCUCCCCAUAGCAGAGGUGAGACCCUGAAGCCACCGGAUUUCCUGUUUCCAGAGCCUAGGACGGUGUGGCAGGGGGAUGUGGGCCCAGAACCUUCUGGAAGGGCGCUGGGCUCCCAUGCAGGCCCCGUGGGGGUCCUGGAGGAUGGAGGAGCAGCCCCCCCAUGGCUUCAGUGGCCCCAGAGCCGGCCACGGUGCCCGAGAGAGCUCACCGCGCCCCAGAGCCAGCGCGGGGCAGACCCCGGGAGACGACGUCCGGCCGAGGACCACCUGCGAAGGACGAAGGACAGUGACCCAGAGCCCUGGGGGCGCGGAGGGCAUCCCGGAGCCGGGGAACCGGCCUGAGCAAAGGCUGGCGGUGAAACUGCAUCACGGGGACCCCUGGAGAGACUGGCCUGGUUGGGGGUAUGCACUAGGGGUCGGGGGUCAAAGGCCUUAGCAAGCGUCCAGCAGAGCGGUGACCACUCGGGGCGGGCGGGGAGGGGGCCUCGGCGCAGGAGGGGUCAGGAGGCCCCGCUGUAUCCGGGGGACCCUUCGAUUUCUGGGGCUUGGGAGGGGGGUGAGCGAGGGGCCUCCCAGCCGGACAGGAGCGCAUCAGCAUUGCCACGCCCGUCGGCCGUGGGCGCAGGACCGGGUGGCCCUCAGGACGCUGCUUCUGGGGUGCCCUGAGCCCCGUCACACUCAGCACGGUUCCCGCCCCUGGUAAACCCCCUGCAAGUCAGCUGGUCACCCUCAGAGGAGUUAAACAGGGAGCGACCUUCGGACCUGGCACUUCAGCCCUGUGUCCACGCGGGAGAAAUGAAGACACGUGUCCACACGGACGCUUACUCCUGAAUGUCCACGGCAGCACGAGUCACGAGAGCUAAAAAGUGGACACAACCCAAACGUCCAUCACCAGAUGAUGGACACACACACGUGUCCCUCCACACACUGGGACACGACGCAGCCGUGAAGAGGAGCGAGGCCCUGACAUGGCCACACGUGGACGGACCUGAACACGCGACGCUCAGAGAGAGAAGCAGACACAGAAGGACACACGGCGUGUGACCCCAUUGACAUGAAACAUCCAGAACAGGCCGAUCCACAGACAGAGAGCGGGCUCGUGGGGGCCAGGGGCUGGGGAGGGACUGCUCAUGGGGACAGGGCUUCUUUUUAGGGUGAUGGAAUGUUCUGGAACAAGAUCAAGGUGAUGGUUGCACAACUAUGUGAAUGCACUGAAAAGCCCUAAAUUGUACCCUUGAAAUGUUUUAAGGGGUGGAUUUGACCUUAAUAAAAAAGUCAGCUGCUGGCAG